rnacentral:rRNA from 1 species
GAUGGACGCUGGCGGCGUGCCUAACACAUGCAAGUCGAACGGAGUCCAGCCUUUAAGACCUUCGGGUCAAAGAGGGGAAGACUGAGUGGCGGACGGGUGAGUAACACGUGGGCAACCUGGCUCAUAGAGGGGGAUAACAGAGAGAAAUUUCUGCUAAUACCGCAUAAGCACACACUGCCGCAUGGCAGAGGGUGAAAAGAGAAUCGCUAUGAGAUGGACCCGCGUCUGAUUAGCCAGUUGGCAGGGUAAGAGCCUACCAAAGCGACGAUCAGUAGCCGAUCUGAGAGGAUGAACGGCCACAUUGGGACUGAGACACGGCCCAAACUCCUACGGGAGGCAGCAGUGGGGGAUAUUGCACAAUGGGGGGAACCCUGAUGCAGCGACGCCGCGUGAGUGAAGAAGUAUUUCGGUAUGUAAAGCUCUAUCAGCAGGGAAGAUAAUGACAGUACCUGAAUAAGAAGCCCCGGCUAACUUCGUG